UUUCUCACUCAGUAGUCUGGGUGGGGCCUGAGAAUUUGUAUUUCUGACAAGUUCCCAAGUAA
rnacentral:miRNA from 1 species